UAGAGCUGAAUUAUUCAUUCUGGACUC
rnacentral:piRNA from 1 species